ensembl:lncRNA PARAIL palmitic acid regulated anti-inflammatory lncRNA
GUGCUGCUGGAUUUGGUUUGCCAGUAUUUUAUUGAGGAUUUUUGCAACAAUGUUCAUCAAGGAUAUUGGUCUAAAAUUCUCUUUUUUGGCUGUGUCUCUGCCUGGCUUUGGUAUCAGGAUGAUGCUGGCCUCAUAAAAUGAGUUAGGGAGGAUUCUCUCUUUUUCUAUUGAUUGGAAUAGUUUCAGAAGGAAUGGUACCAAUUCCUCCUUAUACCUCUGGUAGAAUUCGGCUGUGAAUCCAUCUGGUCCUGGACUCUUUUUGGUUGGUAAGCUAUUGAUUAUUGCCACAAUUUCAGAUCCUGUUAUUGGUCUAUUCAGAGAUUCAACUUCUUCCUGGUUUAGUCUUGGGAGGGUGUAUGUGUCGAGGAAUUUGUCCAUUUCUUCUAGAUUUUCUAGUUUAUUUGCGUAGAGGUGUUUGUAGUAUUCUCUGAUGGUAGUUUGUAUUUCUGUGGGAUCGGUGGUGAUAUCCCCUUUAUCAUUUUUCAUUGUGUCUAUUUGAUUCUUCUCUCUUUUCUUCUUUAUUAGUCUUGCUAGCGGUCUAUCAAUUUUGUUGAUCCUUUCAAAAAACCAGCUCCUGGAUUCAUUAAUUUUUUGAAGGGUUUCUUGUGUCUGUAUUUCCUUCAGUUCUGCUCUGAUUUUAGUUAUUUCUUGCCUUCUGCUAGCUUUUGAAUGUGUUUGCUCUUGCUUUUCUAGUUCUUUUAAUUGUGAUGUUAGGGUGUCAAUUUUGGAUCUUUCCUGCUUUCUCUUGUGGGCAUUUAGUGCUAUAAAUUUCCCUCUACACACUGCUUUGAAUGAGUCCCAGAGAUUCUGGUAUGUUGUAUCUUUGUUCUCGUUGGUUUCAAAGAACAUCUUUAUUUCUGCCUUCAUUUCGUUAUGUACCCAGUAGUCAUUCAGGAGCAGGUUGUUCCGUUUCCAUGUAGUUGAGUGGCUUUGAGUGAGUUUCUUAAUCCUGAGUUCUAGUUUGAUUGCACUGUGGUCUGAGAGAUAGUUUGUUAUAAUUUCUGUUCCUUUACAUUUGCUGAGGAGAGCUUUACUUCCAAGUAUGUGGUCAAUUUUGGAAUAGGUGUGGUGCGGUGCUGAAAAAAAUGUAUAUUCUGUUGAUUUGGGGUGGAGAGUUCUGUAGGUGUCUAUUAGAUCCACUUGAUGCAGAGCUCAGUUCAAUUCCUGGGUAUCCAUGUUAACUUUGUGUCUCAUUGAUCUGUCUAAUGUUGACAGUGGGGUGUUAAAGUCUCCCAUUAUUAUUGUGUGGGAGUCUAAGUCUCUUUGUAGGUCACUCAGGACUUGCUUUAUGAAACUGGGUCCUCCUGUAUUGGGUGCAUAUAUAUUUAGGAUAGUUAGCUCUUCUUGUUGAAUUGAAUAAAUACUUAAACGUUAGACCUAAAACCAUAAAAACUCUAGAGGAAAACCUAGGCAUUACCAUUCAGGACAUAGGCAUGGGCAAGGACUUCAUGUCUAAAACACCAAAAGCAAUGGCAACAAAAGACAAAAUUGACAAAUGGGAUCUAAUUAAACUAAAGAGCUUCUGCACAGCAAAAGAAACUACCAUCAGAGUGAACAGGCAACCUACAAAAUGGGAGAAAAUUUCGCAACGUACUCAUCUGACAAAGGACUAAUAUCCAGAAUCUACAAUGAACUCAAACAAAUUUACAAGAAAAAAACAAACAACCCCAUCAAAAAGUGGGCAUAGGACAUGAACAGACACUUCUCAAAAGAAGACAUUUAUGCAGCCAAAAAGCACAUGAAAAAAUGCCCACCAUCAUUGGCCAUCUGAAAAAUGCAAAUCAAAACCACAAUGAGAUACCAUCUCACACCAGUUAGAAUGGCAAUCAUUCAAAUGUCAGGAAACAACAGGUGCUGGAGAGGAUGUGGAGAAAUAGGAACACUUUUACACUGUUGGUGGGACUGUAAACUAUUUCAACCCUUGUGGAAGUCAGUAUGGCGAUUCUUCAGGGAUCUAGAACUGGAAAUACCAUUUGACCCAUCCAUCCCAUUACUGGGUAUAUACCCAAAGGACUAUAAAUCAUGCUGCUAUAAAGACACAUGCCAUGUAUGUUUAUUGCGGCACUAUUCACAAUAGCAAAGACUUGGAACCAACCCAAAUGUCCAACAAUGAUAGACUGGAUUAAGAAAAUGUGGCACAUAUACACCCUGGAAUACUAUGCAGCCAUAAAAAUGAUGAAUUCAUGUCCUUUGUAGGGACAUGGAUGAAAUUGGAAAUCAUUAUUCUUAGUAAACUAUCGCAAGAACACAAAACCAAACACCGUAUAUGCUGCCUCAUAGGUGGGAAUUGAACGAUGAGAUCACAUGGACACAGGAAGGGGAACAUCACACUCUGGGGACUGUUGUGAGGUGGGCGGAGAGGGGAGGGAUAGCAUUAGGAGAUAUACCUAAUGCUAAAUGACGAGUUAAUGGGUGCAGCACAGUAGCAUGGCACAUGUAUACAUACGUAACUAACCUGCACAUUGUGCACAUGUACCCUAAAACUUAAAGUAUAAUAAUAAAAAAAAAGAAUGUUAUGAUAGCCUUAAUUUGACUUCAUGGGUGCUGUGUUACCUAUUGGUCACAGUUUGUCAUUUACUAAGUAAAAAGAGAGAGAUUCCGAUAAUGGAAAGAGUAGAAGACUGAGUUUAAGUUUUCAGCACUACUGUUCACUAAUUGUGUGAAUUUGUUGUUCCUUCUCCCCAUAAUCUCAUUACCCCAGAUCUUGACAUCUAUGGUUCUUCAUUGUUCAGGACACAGCUGAAGUAUUACCUUUCCCAAGAGAUCUUACAUGACAAUAACCACCCCUGUCCUAUGUUUUGGUAUCAAGAUGAAGCUGACCUCAUAGAAUGAGUUGAAGAGUAGUCCCUCCUCCUCACUUUCUUGGAACAGUUUCUGUAGGAAUGGAACCAGCUCUUCUUUGUACAUCUGGUAGAAUUUGGCUGUGACUCCAUCAGGUCCUGGGCUUUUUUUUUGGUUGGUAGGCUAUUUAUUACUGAUUCAAUUUUGGAGCCCAUCAUUGGUCUGUUAAGGGAAUCAAUUUCUUCCUGGCUCAGUCUUGGGAGGGUGUGUGUGUCCAGGAAUUUAUCAGUCUCUUCUAGAUUUUCUAGUUUGUGUGCAUAGAGGUGUUUUUAGUAGUUUCUGAUGGUUGUCUUUAUAUCUGUUGGGUCAGUGGUACCAUUCCUUUCAUCAUUUUUAAUUGUGUUUAUUUGGAUCUUCUCUUUUGUCUUAUUAGCCUAGCUAGUGGCAUAUCUAUUUUAUUAAUUUUUUCAAAAAACCAAUUCCUGGAUUUGUUGAGAUCUCUACAAUAAGCAUUACAAAACACUGCUGAAAGAAAUCAGAGAAGACACAAACAAAUGAAAAAAACAUCUCUUGCUCAUGGAUAGGAAGAAACAAUAUUAUUAAAAUGGCUAUACUGCCCAAAGUAAUUUACAGAUUCAUUGUUAUUCCUAUCAAACUGCCAACAAUAUUCUUCAAAGAACUAGAAAAAACUAUUUUAAAAUUCAUAUGGAUCUAAAAAAGAGCCUUAAUAGCCAAGGCAAUCCUAAACAAAAAGAAAAAGCUGGAGGCAUCACACUACUUGACUUUAUGCUGCAAGGCUACAGUAGCAAAAACACCAUGUUUCUGGUACAAAAACAGGUGCAUAGACCAAUGGAACGGAAUAAAGAGCCCUGAAAUAAUGCCGCACAUCUCCAACUAUCUAGUCUUUGACAAAGCUGACAAAAACAAGCAAUGGGGGAAAUGACUCUUUAUUCAAUAAAUAGUGCUGGGAUAACUGGCUAGUCAUAUGCAGAAGAUUGAAGUUGGACACUUUCCUUACACCAUACACAAAAAUCAACUCAAGACAGAUUAAAGACUUAAAUAUAAAUCCGAAAACUAUAAAAACCUUGCAAAACAACCUAGUCAAUACCAUCCUGGAUGUAGGAAUGGGCAAAUAUUUCAUGACAAAGACACCAAAAGCAAUCGCAACGAAAGCAAAAAUUGACAAGUGGAAUCUAAUUAAACUUAAGAACUGCACAGCAAAAGACACUAUCAACAGAGUAAAUAGACAACAUACAGAAUGGGAGAAAGUAUUCGCAAACUAUGCAUCUGACAGACAAAGGUCUAAUAUCUAGCAUCUAUAAGGAUCUUAAGCAAAUUUACAAGAGAAAAGCAAACAACCCUAUUAAGAAGUGGGCAAAGGACAUGAACAGACACUUCUCAAAACAAGACAUAUAUGUGGUCAACAAGCAUUUGAAAAAGAGCUCAAUAUCACUCAUCAUAAGAGAAAUGCAAAUCAAAACCACAAUGAGAUACCAUCUCAUACCAGUCUGAAUGGCCAUUAUUAAAAAGUCAAAAAACAACAGAUGCUGGUGAGGUUGUGGAGAAAAGGGAACACUUAUACACUGUUAGUAGGAGUAGACAUUUGUCCAACUAUUGUGAAAAGCAGUAUGGUGAUUCCUCAAAGAGCUAAAAGCAGAACUACCAGUUGACUCAACAAUUCUAUUACUGGAUAUAUACCCAGAGGAAUAUAAAUUGACCUUACGGUGUUUCUACCAUAAAGACACAUGCAUGUGAAUGUUCAUUGCAACACUAUUCACAAUUGCAAAGACAUGGAAUUAACCUAAAUGCCUAUCAAUGACAGAUUGGAUAAAGAAAAUGUGGCACUUAUACACCAUGAAAUACUAUGCAGCCAUAAAAAAGAACAAGAUGUCUGUGGACGGAACA